AGUGAACGCUGGCGGUAGGCCUAACACAUGCAAGUCGAACGGCAGCACAGUAAGAGCUUGCUCUUACGGGUGGCGAGUGGCGGACGGGUGAGGAAUACAUCGGAAUCUACUUUUUCGUGGGGGAUAACGUAGGGAAACUUACGCUAAUACCGCAUACGACCUACGGGUGAAAGCAGGGGAUCUUCGGACCUUGCGCGAUUGAAUGAGCCGAUGUCGGAUUAGCUAGUUGGCGGGGUAAAGGCCCACCAAGGCGACGAUCCGUAGCUGGUCUGAGAGGAUGAUCAGCCACACUGGAACUGAGACACGGUCCAGACUCCUACGGGAGGCAGCAGUGGGGAAUAUUGGGCAAUGGGCGCAAGCCUGAUCCAGCCAUACCGCGUGAGUGAAGAAGGCCUUCGGGUUGUAAAGCCCUUUUGUUGGGAAAGAAAAGCAGCAGUUUUAUACCCCGCUGUUCUGACGGUACCCAAAGAAUAAGCACCGGCUAACUUCGUG
rnacentral:rRNA from 1 species